rnacentral:rRNA from 1 species
UACGUAGGAGCCAAGCGUUGUCCGGAUUGACUGGGCGUAAAGCGCACGCAGGCGGAUGCGCGCGUGGGGUGUGAAAUCUGGCCGCUUAACGGCCAGGCGCCAUCCCAUACGGCGCGUCUGGAGUGAUGCAGAGGUCGAUGGAAUUGCCGGUGUAGUGGUGAAAUGCGUAGAGAUCGGCAGGAACACCCAGGGGGAAACCAGUCGACUGGGCAUCUACUGACGCUGAGGUGCGAGAGCGUGGGGAGCGAACCGG